CAGCAGAAAAACCAAUCCGCCGCCGCUGUCUUUUCCCUCUCUCACAUCCCGUCGCUUCCGCCGCCGGCCGAUUCCCGUUUCUUCGUCGGUCGCACGCACGCACGCACGCGCACACCUCCUCUCAUCCCCGUCUCACGAUGAGCAUGAGAUCAAUGGAUGUAAGGUUCGGCUUCCAAUCCAUCCAGGACGCCGGCCAGUCCACCGAGGGGAGAGUCCAAAUUGUGCACGCGAAAGCCCUAGGCGCCGCGCAUACCAUCUUCGCCGCCUCGCCCAGCGUUUGCUCGCCUUAGCUCGCGGAGAUGGAGCAGGACGCGCCACCCGUCCCGCACCAGGCCCAGGACGACGGCGCCGUGGAUGGCUGGGCGCGCGACGACACAGAGCCCUCCCCUACGGCGUCCCGGCGGAGUGCCCCGAGGCGUAGGUCCUCCUCCUUGCCGCCGCCUCCGUGCAGCCGCUCGUCCGCGACCCUCAACCAUGACUCGGUGGGAGGAGCCCUGCGACGACCUCGACGCCUGUUCCCGCGAGCACGACCACUGCGUUUGCCCCGCAAGAAAGGGAAGUGGCUACAGAAUUUCAGAAUCCAGACUGUUUGCUGCUAGCUCUACUUUGCUCCACCAUUUGGUAACUGAUGGCAAUGCAGCAGCUGUGUGGUUCCCACUUUAUGCGGCAGCUGUUCUUCUACCGAUCUGUUGCUCGGUGAUCAAUUGUGUGUGGUUGGUUAAUUUACUAGCCGCAUGGAUUGGGGAUAUGUACUUCGGUUUGGGUUCAUCAAAAGGGGCAAUUGUUGAGCAUUUGUAUCAACUAUCGAGGAUCUCAAGUUCACAUGGAUCACACUAUGAUCAAGUGCAUUCUGGUGCUGUGAUGAUUGUGACGGAAAAUGUUAGCAGCAGAAGCAAUCGCUACGAUUUUGACCUCCAUACGAAAUCUGCAAGGGUAACAACAACAAAGGAAACUGGUGUAAGAUUGAGUAGUAAGACUCAAAGAUGAGCUACCAUCAAGAUUAUGUCUCGACAAUCAAGUAUAGUGAUUAUUUUUACCGAACUCAUAGAAGUAGAUUGUGUAUCCCAUCCAACGUUCAACCUAAUGGACAUUGAGGGAACCACUUUGAGUAGGCAAUUGUUUGUGUGGAGGAAAAUGCAUGGUACUAAAGCUAACCUUCCUCUGGUCCAGAUGAAAUCAAGGCAACUGGGUCUUCUAUCUUCAAACAUCGAUUUGUUAGUUCUUCCUGGCUUCAGUGCAUCCCCUCAUAUUACUGUGUUUAAACUACAAUGCAGUGUGCUAAUUAUUUUCUAAAAAAAUUACAGUGUACUCCCUCCGUUCCUAUAUAUAAGUCUUUCUAGAGAUUUCACUAUGGACUACAUACAUAUGGAUGUAUAUAGACAUAGUAUAGAGUGUAGAUUCACUCAUUUUGCUCCGUAUGUAGUCUUAUUUGAAUCUCUAAAAAGACUUAUAUUUAGGAACGGAGGGAGUAUUAAUUAAGUAAAACUUAUUUGAAGUAGAUGUAGCACAGCCUUUAGGAUUUUGCACAUGGACCACACCAAUUUCGAGUAGUUGUACUUCUACAUAUCUGCUCACCAAAUAGCUGCAUGAUUAUUAUGAACAUGGUAAACUCUAAAGCUAUUUUCUUUAGUAGUCCUAAAAGAAACUGAACUAUUUGUGUGGGGCCAGAGAAGCGUACUUUCAAUACAAAUUGCAAUUGCUUGGGCAAGAGAAAUCAACUCAAUACUAUAAUUUUCCAUAUGUAGUAAGAGGAGGCGUACCAUUGUAAACCGAUGUAGGCUGAAGGCUAGCUGCAUCUUUGGCGUGUGGUCAAACCCGACAAGCUGCAACUAUGUGGAGCAUCCACACUACUGCCACCACAUGCUUGCUAAAACGCUUAAUCUGACCAUCCCCGUACAUCGGCCAAAUCUUCGGCGAGCAUGUUUGAUGGCAAGCUCGGGCGAUUAUUGUUGUAUUGAGUAUCCUGAUGAUAACCGUCAUGAAAGUCACUACAUGGAUCGAUGUGCCCAUCGUGUCUGGUAGUAGCCCACCUUGGAGAAGAAUACACCAACCAUUUUGGUAGUGGGCAUCUCAACACUUCUAUUUGGGCCCCAUUCCCCUAAUACGCUAGUAAUUGUCUCCUUUUCCAUAUUUCUCUUAGUCUCACUCCCAUACACUUCAUGAUACGAGAGAGGGAAUGCUAGCAGCCACGGUGGCAGUGUCCCCUUCGGCCGUUCAUGCAACUUGAGAGGAUGAAGUCUCUAGCGAUGUCGCGUGAAAGGCAUCGACGCUAGUGAGUUUGCUACCAUCCUAGCCACAACGACAAUGCGGCAGAGCAUAUAGUGGAGGGCAGAGCAAGACGGUCGAGGGAGAUGGCUCAUCAGAAGAAUCCACAACAUGCAGACGACCAGUGUAGUAGAGAAGAGGAUGAGGCGGAAUCACUGGGGAAGCCUCAGGGGACGAGCCAAGUGAGGUAAUAUCAGGUAAUGAACGAGGCGGGAACUAUGUUUUUAAGGCGACGCCUUACCGCCUUAGGGAGGGGGGGCGCUUUGGCGCCUAGGCGACGCCUAGGCGGGCGCUUUGGACGCCUAGGCGCCCAAAGCGGUCGAUUUUCCAAAGCGGAGGGGGAGCGCUUCGACGCCUAGGCGUCGCCUUAGGGACGCCUUUAAAACAUAGGGGCGGGAAAGCCGCAUGUGAUGAUGAGCUUGAUAAGAAGCCAUUAGAGGUAGAAAAAACCUCGAUCCCUAGGAAGUAGCAAAGAGGACCAAGAUCAGACAUAAGAAACCCACUAUGAUAAGCCUUCACAAAGGCAAUGUACUUAGUCAUCGCAGUGAUGAUCGACAUAUAGAAGAAGAGUUUGACCACAAGUUGAAAGGUGGACAAGAAGUGUAGGAUCAUGAGCACUCGCCGAAAACUAGCCGCAAUCACCAUUGAGACAAAAUGAUCCAACUAGUCACGAGGGGUUUGCUUAAGGCCGUAAAAGAGGGAUGAAGUCGACAAACCAUGCCAUCAGGAAGAGAAUACCCCGGUGGUAGCUAUAUGUAGACCUCAUGCAACAGGGAGGAAGGGAAAUGAUAUCCCACAUGCCUAUGUGUGCAAGAGCAACAAUCUCCUCUACAAUCGCAUGCUGUAAUUCAUGAUCCAACUAUAUCUGCUCACCAAAUAGCUGCAUGAUUAUUAUGAACAUGGUAAACUCUAAAGCUAUUUUCUUUAGUAGUCCUAAAAGAAACUGAACUAUUUGUGUGGGGCCAGAGAAGCGUACUUUCAAUACAAAUUGCAAUUGCUUGGGCAAGAGAAAUCAACUCAAUACUAUAAUUUUCCAUAUGUAGUAAGAGGAGGCGUACCAUUGUAAACCGAUGUAGGCUGAAGGCUAGCUGCAUCUUUGGCGUGUGGUCAAACCCGACAAGCUGCAACUAUGUGGAGCAUCCACACUACUGCCACCACAUGCUUGCUAAAACGCUUAAUCUGACCAUCCCCGUACAUCGGCCAAAUCUUCGGCGAGCAUGUUUGAUGGCAAGCUCGGGCGAUUAUUGUUGUAUUGAGUAUCCUGAUGAUAACCGUCAUGAAAGUCACUACAUGGAUCGAUGUGCCCAUCGUGUCUGGUAGUAGCCCACCUUGGAGAAGAAUACACCAACCAUUUUGGUAGUGGGCAUCUCAACACUUCUAUUUGGGCCCCAUUCCCCUAAUACGCUAGUAAUUGUCUCCUUUUCCGUAUUUCUCUUAGUCUCACUCCCAUACACUUCAUGAUACGAGAGAGGGAAUGCUAGCAGCCACGGUGGCAGUGUCCCCUUCGGCCGUUCAUGCAACUUGAGAGGAUGAAGUCUCUAGCGAUGUCGCGUGAAAGGCAUCGACGCUAGUGAGUUUGCUACCAUCCUAGCCACAACGACAAUGCGGCAGAGCAUAUAGUGGAGGGCAGAGCAAGACGGUCGAGGGAGAUGGCUCAUCAGAAGAAUCCACAACAUGCAGACGACCAGUGUAGUAGAGAAGAGGAUGAGGCGGAAUCACUGGGGAAGCCUCAGGGGACGAGCCAAGUGAGGUAAUAUCAGGUAAUGAACGAGGCGGGAACUAUGUUUUUAAGGCGACGCCUUACCGCCUUAGGGAGGGGGGGCGCUUUGGCGCCUAGGCGACGCCUAGGCGGGCGCUUUGGACGCCUAGGCGCCCAAAGCGGUCGAUUUUCCAAAGCGGAGGGGGAGCGCUUCGACGCCUAGGCGUCGCCUUAGGGACGCCUUUAAAACAUAGGGCGGGAAAGCCGCAUGUGAUGAUGAGCUUGAUAAGAAGCCAUUAGAGGUAGAAAAAACCUCGAUCCCUAGGAAGUAGCAAAGAGGACCAAGAUCAGACAUAAGAAACCCACUAUGAUAAGCCUUCACAAAGGCAAUGUACUUAGUCAUCGCAGUGAUGAUCGACAUAUAGAAGAAGAGUUUGACCACAAGUUGAAAGGUGGACAAGAAGUGUAGGAUCAUGAGCACUCGCCGAAAACUAGCCGCAAUCACCAUUGAGACAAAAUGAUCCAACUAGUCACGAGGGGUUUGCUUAAGGCCGUAAAAGAGGGAUGAAGUCGACAAACCAUGCCAUCAGGAAGAGAAUACCCCGGUGGUAGCUAUAUGUAGACCUCAUGCAACAGGGAGGAAGGGAAAUGAUAUCCCACAUGCCUAUGUGUGCAAGAGCAACAAUCUCCUCUACAAUCGCAUGCUGUAAUUCAUGAUGAACUAAUUCGUCAUAAUAAGAAGUCGUCUCGAGAAAAGCGAUGCCAGAAUAACCAAUAACCAUAUCGGUCAAUAGGCAGAAGCGAGCGAGCUCGGAAGCCAUAAGUAGGUUGAGCUUUGGGCGGUGCGUUGCCACCAGGAAAGGCCAUAGUAGUCGAGGGAGAUGGCUCAUUAGAAGGAUCCACAACACGUGGACCACAAGUGUAGUGAAGAAGAUGAUAAAGGGGGAAUCAUUGUGGAAACCUCAUGGAUGAGCGAGGUGAGGUAGCCUUAGGUAAUGUACGAGGUGGGGAAGCCGCAUGUGGCGACGUGUGGGGUCUAUAACAGUAGUACGGGAGAAUAAGCUGGGAUAGGUGGGCGAGGGCAAUAAAUGAGUGAUAAGUGUAUCAAGAAAAUUGAGAGAAGAAAUAUCAUCAAUGGGGGAGGCUGAAGGAGAGUAUGGACGUGGAUAGAAAGGACGAGACUCAAUCGAAAGUCACAUCUCAAGAAAUGCACAUCCGACGACUAACAAGAUCCCAACACCGAUAGCCCUUGUGCUCAUCACUAUAACCUAAGAAGACACAUUCAACAAAUAGGUCAAAUAGUUUGGUGCAUGAAGAACAUAGCUAAUACAGAAUGAAGUUGACGCUCAACCAAACAGUUAGGAGAAUGCUUAGAAAGACGCUUGAGAGGAAUGUCACCCUGUAGAGUUGAGGAGGGAUGAAUGUUGAUGAGAUAGGUGGCUACGCUCAUCAACUCGCUAGCCACCUCAUGAAGGUGACGAUGCUUGCGCUCAACAACCCCGUUCUAAGCAUGAGCACCAGGACAAGAGAACCGAGCAAGUGUGCUUUGCUCAACAAGGAAUCUGCGCAGCAAAUGAGAGAGAUACACACAAGCUGUAUCUGCACGAAAGACACGGAUAGUAGUGGAAAACUGGGUAUGAACCAAUGCGGCAAACUUCUUAUAGAUAGAUAAGACCUCACUACAAGGCAUAAAAUAUAUCGACUUGUGACGAGAAAAAUAAUAGUAAAGAUAACAGUGGCGAUGGCCUCCUUUCAAGGCAAAGGGAGCUGGGUCCCAAACACCAGAGUGCAUAGGAUUGAAAGGACGCCGAGACACAGAAUUGCUAUGAGGAUAUGGUAACUGAACGUGUUUACCGAGGCAACAAACUUGACUGUCUAAAGUUACAUUGCGAGAGACGGAUCCUAGAAGACCACAUCGUUCUAAGGAUGAGAGACGAGAGCCACACAUGUGACUGAGAUGAUGAUGCCACAAAGAGUCGGUAGACAAGGUAAGAGAGUUGAAGAGACUGGUGGAUGUGGUAGCGGAGGGAAGGUGAAGCAUGCCAAGCUUCAGAGGCCGUGUGAGUCACAGCGUCGAGGGUCAACACAAAGUAGAGCACUCGUGUGCCGAUCCUAAGUCAGAGAGUUAGAGUCAAGAAUAUUGGAGUAAUAGAAAUAUUGUUUGUGUUAGGUUCAAUGAUAUAUUUGCUUGGAUUCUAGGUCGGAGUUACACUUGAGAAUGGGCACUUGGAUUUGUGAUAUUUUGACAUGAGCUUGAAACUGGAGAACUUUAGGGUGUAGCAUGAUGAACCUGAGAUGUAUUUGUUUUAUGUAGGUAUAGUAUGAGUAGCAUGAAUGUGGUAUUGAUGGUCUAUUGGAUCAUCUUGGAUAUUACUAAUUGGAUUCUAGGUUGGAGAUAACUUGAGCAUUUGGAUUUGUGAUAUUUUGACCAAAGGUUAGUAGCUUGUAUGUGCCCCAUAUGGAUAUGAGCAUGGAGAUGAUACAAACGGACCAUACUUGGUAGACUUUGAUGAUUUUGCUAGCCCUCCCCAAGAAUGUUACGAGUACAUGAUCAUGGGAGGAUGUUUUGAUUUAAUUAGAAUAGAUGACAAUUUCAGUGGUAUGAGCCUUGUUGGAGCAACUGAUCUUGAUUUUAUUAUGUGUUUCUGCUCCUUUAGAUGCAGUAAUAGGGAGAGGUAGUACUUAUGAAGUGAUAUUACGUUCGUGGAUAAAUAGAUCUUUAAUAACCUUGGAACAUCUCGGAUGUGUAACAUGAUCAGCUUGGUUGUGAAAAUUGAUGGACUAUUACAUCAUCUUGGAUUGAAUUAGUAUGAAGAAAACAAAGAUAUUGGUGUACUAGAAAUGUUGUUUGUGUUAGGUUCAAUGAUACAUCUGCUGGGAUUCUAGUUCAGAGUUAAACUUGAGAUUGGGCACUUGGAUUCGUGAUAUUUUCACAUGAGCUUGAAACUGGAAAACUUCAGGGUGUAGCAUGAUCAACCUGAGAUGUAUUGAAUUUAUAUAGGUAUAGUAUGAUUAGGAUGAAUGUGGUAUUGGUGGAUUAUUGGAUCAUCUUGGAUAUUACUAGUUGGUUUCUAGUUAAGAUAACUUAAGCACUUGGAUUUGUGAUAUUUUAACCUAAGCUUAGUAGCUUGUAUGUGUCCCAUAUGGAUAUGAGCAUGGAGACGAUACAAAUGGAUCGUAGUUGAUAGAUUUUGCAAGCCCUCCCCCAAGAAUGUUACGAGUACAAGAUCAUCAUGGGAGGAUGAUUUGGAUUAAUUAGUAUGGAUGACAAUUUCAAACGUUAUGAGCCUUGUUGGAGCAGCUGAUGUUGCUUUUAUUAUGUGUUUGUGCUCCUUUAAUUUAGAUGCAGUAGUAGGAGGGCAGGAGUUAUGAAGUGAUAUUAUAUUUGUGGAUAAAUAGAUCUUUAAUAACCUUGGAACAGUUUGGAUGUACUUAGAUGAUUGUGAUCUUCAAAAAUAUAUCUGGUGGACAAAUAAAUUCUAAUUUUUGGAUCUAUAGUCAUCCAGUGGAAGCUUGCUUCAUACUGAACUUAGAUAACCAUGAUCGUGGGUUUGGUUAGAUCAUAGUUAUGAUUUGUACUAGAUGCAUUGGAUUGAAACUAGAGAACUUUAGGGUAUAUGAUGAUCAAUUAGAGAUAUAUUGGAUUUGUAUGAACAUAAUAUGAUCAGCGUGAUUGUGAAAAUUGCUGGAAGAAAACAAAGAUAUUGGAGUAAUAGCAAUGUUGUUUGUGUUAGGUUCGAUGAUACAUCUGCUUGGAUUCUAGGUCGGAGUUAAACUUGAGAUUGGGCACUUGGAUUUGUGAUAUUUUCACUUGGGCUUUAGGGUGUAGCAUGAUCAACCUGAGAUGUAUUGGAUUUAUAUGGGUAUACUAUGAUUAGCAUGAAUGCGGUAUUGGUGGAUUAUUGGAUGAUCUUGGAUAUUAGUAGUUGGAUUCUAGGUUGGAGAUAACUUGAGCACGUGGAUUUGUGAUAUUUUGACCUAAGCAUAAUAGCUUGUAUGUUCCCCAUAUGGAUAUGAGCAUGGAGAUGAUACAAACGAAUUGUAAUUGGUAGACUUUGAUGAUUUUACUAGCCCUCCCCAAGAAUGUUACGAGUAUGAGAUCAGGAGGAUAAUUUGGAUUAAUUAGAACAGAUGGAAAUUUUUGUGGUAUGUGUGCCAUGUUGGAGCAGCUGAUAUUGCUUUUAUUAUGUGUUUGUGCUCCUUUAGAUGUAGUAGUAGGAGGGUAGUAGUUAUGACGUGAUAGAUAUACAUCUUUAAUAACCUUGGAACAAUUUGGAUUUAUUUGUUGAUUGUGAUCUUGAAAACAAAUCUGGUAGAUAAAUAACUUCUAAUUUUUAGAUCUAUAGUAAUCCAAUGGAGGCUGAGGUAGUUGCAGAGGAGCGAUGUGAAAGUACAUCAGAAGCUUUACUUGAUUGCCUGAAGAUUGACAUUGCAGCAAUGGCUUGGCACAAAGCCCGAUGCGGCUGACAGGGUUUUCACCCUCUCCCACACCUCCCGUGCAUUGUUCAUUUCUUGCCAAUUCGACUUGAUGUCCUUCCCUUGUUACGGGUUCCGUGCCACUGACUUGAUCCGUCAUCACACGUUCUACCACCGUGCGUCCUUGGCCUUGGCGGUAGGUAACGUCGUGCUCUCGGGCUGUGUCUCGUGGGUUAGCCAUUGUGGUGUUGACUGCCUGUGUGGCUAUGGCGGCGCCCAGCAGGGAAACACGAGAUGUUGUCGGAUUGAGUCAUCGCACAUCGCACCCCGAAGCCAGGCAAAGGAUGCCGGUCGGACUGGCAAGGAGCGUAUUGCACAUGAGGUAUGGCAGAAGGGAUGAAAACGUUAUUGGGAGCGGAUUGCCAUUGCCGUCAUUCGUUGUAGUUUGAGCCAAGCGUCAGGGGAUGACGUUUGGGAAGGUGGGAAGAUGGUUGGAUCAUGAUUACUACUAGAUUCACACGUUUAGAGAUUGAAACUGGAGAACUUUUGGGUGUAGUAUGAUCAGUCGAAGAGAUAUUGGAUUUAUAUGUGUAAUAUGCUCAGGAUGAUUUUGAAAAUUGAUUGACUAUUACAUCAUCUUGGAAUGAAAUAGUAGGAAGAAAACAAAGAUAUUGGCGUAAAAGAAAUGUUGUAUGUGUUAGGUUCACUUACAUAUCUGCUUGGAUUCUAGGUCGGAGUUAAACUUGAGAAUGGGCACUUGGAUUUGUGAUAUUUUGACAUGAGCGUGAAACUUGAGAACUUUAGGGUGUAGCAUGAUGAACCUGAGAUGUAUUUGAUUUAUAUAGGUAUGGUAUAUGAUUAGCAUGAAUGCGGUAUUGGUGGACUAUUUGAUGGUCUUGGAUAUUACUAGUUGGAUUCUAGGUUGGAGAUAACUUGAGCACUUGGAUUUGUGAUCUUUUGACCAAAGCUUAGUAGCUUGUAAGUGCCCCAUAUGGAUAUGAGCAUGAAGAUGAUACAAACGGAUAGUUGGUAGACUUUGAUGAUUUUGCUAGCCUUCCCAAAAAAUGUUACGAGUAAAAGGUCGUGGGAGAAUGAUUUGGAUUACUUGGAAUGGAUGACAAUUUCAGUGGUAUGAGCCUUGUUGGAGCAGCUGAUCUUGCUUUUAUUAUGUGUUUGUGCUCCUCCAGAUGCAGUAGUAGUAGGAGGGUAGUACUUAUGAAGUGAUAUUAUAUUGGUCGAUAAAUAGAUCUUUAAUAACCUUGGAACAGUUUGGAUUUAAUUAAGUGCUUGUGAUCUUGAAAAAAAAUCUGGUGGAUAAAUGACUCGUAAUUUUUGGAUCUAUAGCCAUCCAGUGGAAGCUUGCUUUAUACUGGACUUAGAUAACUAUGAUAGUGAGCUUGUUUGGAUCAUAGUUGUGAUUUGUACUAGAUGCACACCUUUAGAGAUUGAAACUGGAGAACUUUAGGGUCUAGUAUGAUCAGUCAGGGAUAUAUUGGAUUUAAAUGUGUAACAUGAUCAUCUUGAUUGUGAAAAUUGAUGGACUAUUACAUCAUCUUGUUGGAUUGAAUUAGUAGGAAUAAAACAAAGAUAUUGGUGUAAUAGAAAUGUUGUUUGUGUUAGGUUCAAUGAUACAUCUGCUUGGAUUCUAGUUCGGGGUUAAACUUGAGAUUGGGCACUUGGAUUUGUGAUAUUUAAACAUGAGCUUGAAACUAGAAAAACUUUAGGGUGUAGCAUGAUCAACCUGGGAUAUAUUGAAUUUAUAUAGGCAUAGUAUAUGAUUAGUAUGAAUGCGGUAUUGGUGGACUAUUGGAUCAUCUUGGAUAACUAGUUCGAUUCUAGGUUGGAGAUAACUCAAGCACUUGAAUUUGUGAUAUUUUGACCUAAGCUUAGUAGCUUGUAUGUGCCCCAUAUGGAUAUGAGCGUGGAGAUGAUGCAAACAGAUUGUAGUUGGUAGACUUUGUUGAUUUUGCUAGCCCUCCCCAAGAAUGUUACGAGUACGAGAUCAUCAAGGGAGGAUGAUUUGGAUUAAUUAGAAUAGAUGGAAAUUUCUGUGGUAUGUGUGGCUUGUUGGAGCAGCUGAUAUUGCUUUUAUUAUGUGUUUGUGCUCCUUUAGAUGUAGUAGUAGGCCGAGGGUAGUAGUUAUGACGUGAUAUUGUAUUGGUGGAUAAAUACAUCUUUAAUAACCUUGGAACAAUUUGGAUUUACUUAGAUGAUAGUGAUCUUGAAAACAAUUCUGGUGAAUAAAUAACUUCUAUUUUUUGGAUCUAUGUAAUCCAGUGGAGGCUGAGGUAGUUGCAGAGGAGCGAUGAGAAAGCACAUGAGAAGCUUUACUCGAUCUCUUGAAGAUUGACAUUGCCACAACGGCUUGGCGCAAAGCUCGAUGCGGCCGACAGGGUUUUCACCCUCUCCCACACCUCCCGUGCAUUGUUCAUUUCCUGCCAAUUCGGCUUGGUGUCCUUCCCUUGUUUGUGGGUUCCGUGCCACUUACUUGAUCCGGCAUCACACGGUCUCUCGCCGUGCGUCCUUAGCCUUGGUGGUAGGUAACGUUGUGCUCUCGGGCUGUGUCUCGUGGGUUAGCCAUUGCGGUGCCGACUGCCUAUGUGGCUAUGGCGGCGCCCAACAGGGAAACACGAGAUGUUAUCGGAUUGAGGCAUCGCACAUCGCUCCCCGAAGCGAGGCAAAUGAUGCCGGUCGGACUAGCAAGGAGCGGAUUGCACAAGAGGUAUGGCAGAAGGGAUGAUAACGUUAUUGGGAGCGGAUUGUCAUUGCCGUCAUUCAUUGUAGUUGGAGCCAAGCGUCGAGGGGAUGACGAUUGGGGAAGGUGGGAAGUUGGUUGGAUCAUACUCCCUCCGUCCCAUAAUGUAAGAUAUUUUUCGACACUACAUUAGUGUUAAAAAACGUCUUACAUUAUGGGACGGAGGGAGUAGUUAUGAUUACUACUAGAUGCACACCUUUAGAGAUUGACUGGAGAACUUUAGGGUGUAGUAUGAUCAAUCGAAGAGAUAUUGGAUUUAUAUGUGUAAUAUGAUUAGGGUGAUUUUGAAAAUUGAUUGACUAUUACAUCAUCUUGGAAUGAAAUAGUAGGAAGAAAACAAAGAUAUUGGAGUAAUAGAAAUGUUGUAUGUGUUCAGUUCAGUUACAUAUCUGCUUGGAUUCUAGGUUGGAGUUAAACUUGAGAAUGGGCACUUGGAUUUGUGAUACUUUGACAUGAGCUUGAAACUGGAGAACUUUAGGGUGUAGCAUGAUCAUCCUAAGAUGUAUUUGAUUUAUAUAGGUAUAGUAUGAUUAGCAUGAAUGCGGUAUUGGUAGACUAUUGGAUGGUCUUGGAUAUUACUUUUUGGAUUCUAGGUUGGAGAUAACUUGAGCACUUGGAUUUCUGAUCUUUUGGCGAAAGCUUAGUAGCUUGUAAGUGCCCCAUAUGGAACAUGAAGAUAAUACAAAUGGAUCAUAGUUGGUAGACUUUGAUGAUUUUGCUAGCCCUCCCCAGGAAUGUGACGAGUACAAGAUCAUCAUGGGAGGAUGAUUUGGAUUAAUUAGAAUAGAUGACAAUUUCAGUGGUAUGUGCCAUGUUGGAGCAGCUGAUCUUGCUUCUAUUAUGUGUUUGUGCUCCUUUAGAUGCAGUAGUAGGAGGGGGUAGUACUUAUGAAUUGAUAUUAUAUUGGUGGAUAAAUGGAUCUUUAAUAACCUCGAAAUAGAUUGGAUUUAAUUAAGUGCUUGUGAUCUUGAAAAAAAAUCUGUUGGAUAAAUAACUUCUAAUUUUUUGAUCUAUAGCCAUCCAGUGUAAGCUUGCUUUAUACUGGACUUAGAUAACCAUGACAGUGGGCUUGAUUGGAUCAUAGUUGUGAUUUGUACUAGAUGCACACCUUUAGAGAUUGAAACUCGAGAACUUUAGGGUCUAGUAUGAUCAAUUGGAGAUAUAUUGGAUUUAUAUGUGUAAUAUGAUCAACAUGAUUUUGAGUAUUGAUGGACUGUUACAUCAUCUUGGAUUGAAUUAGUAGGAAGAAAACAAAGAUUUUGGAGUAAUAGAAAUGUUGUUUGUGUUAAGUUCAAUUACAUAUGUGCUUGGGUUCUAUGUUGGAGUUAAACUUGAGACUGUGCACUUGGAUUUGUGUUAUUUUGGCAUGAGCUUUAAACUGAAAAACUUUAGGGUGUAGCAUGAUCAACCCGAGAUAUAUUGAAUUUAUAUAAGUAUAGUAUGAUUAACAUGAAUGCGGUAUUGGUGGACUAUUGGAUCAUCUUGGAUAUUACUACUUGGAUUCAAGGUUAGAGAUAACUUGAGCACUUGGAUUUGUGAUACUUUGACCUAAGCAUUGUAGCUUGUAUGUGCCCUAUAUGGAUAUGAGCAUGGGGAUGAUACAAAUGGAUCAUAGUUGGUAGACUUUAAUGAAUUUGCUAGUUCUCCCCAAGAAUGUUACGAGUACAGGAUCAUCAUGGGAGUAUGAUUUGGAUUAAUUAGAAUAGAUGACAAUUUUAGUGGUAUGAGCCUUGUUGGUGGAGCUGAUCUUGCUUUUAUUAUGUGUUUGUGCUCCUUCAUACGCACUAGGAGGAAGAUGGUAGUAUGAAGUGAUGUUAUAUCGGUGGAUAAAAAGAUCUUUAAUAACCUUGGAACAACUUGGAUUUACUUAGGUGAUUGUGAUCUUGAAAAAAAAUUUGGUGGAUAAAUAACUUCUAAUUUUUUGGAUGUAUAGUCAUCCGAUGUGGUGCCUCAGACGGACACCUUCCGAUAUUUGGGGUCGAUGCUGCAGAAGGAUGGGGUAUUGAUGAAGAUGUGAACCAUUGAAUUAAAGCCGGAUGGAUGAAGUGGCACCAAGCUUCUGGCAUUCUCUGUGAUAAGAGUGCCACAAAAGCUAAAAGGCAAGUUCGACAGGACGGCAGUUCGAACCGCAAUGUUGUAUGGCGCUGAGUGUUGGUGGACUAAAAGGCGACAUGUUCAACCGUUAGGUGUGGCGGUGAUGCGUAUAUUGAGAUGGAUGCGUGGCCACACGAGGAAGGAUCGAGUCCGAAUGAUGAUACGAGAUAGAGUUGGGGUAGCACCAAUUGAAGAGAAGCUUGUUCAACAUCGUCUGAGAUGGUUUGGGCAUCUUCAGUGCAGGUCUCCAGAAGCUCCAGUGCAUAGUGGACGGCUAAAGCAUGCGAAAAAUGUCAAGAGAGGUCGGGGUAGACCGAAUUUAACAUGGUAGGAGUCCGUAAAGAGAGAUCUAAAGGAUUGGAGUACCAACAAAGAACUAGCUAUGGACAGGGGUGCAUGGAAGCUUGCUAUCCGUGUGCUCGAACCAUGAGUUGGUCGCGAGAUCUUAUGGGGCUCACCUCUAGCCUACCCCAACUUGUUUGGGACUAAAUACUUUGUUGUUGUUGUUGUUGUUGUUGUACAUCAGGCGGAAGCUUGCUUUAUACUGGAAUUAGAUAACCAUGAUAGUGGGCUUGGUUGGAUCAUAGUUAUGAUUUGUACUAGACACACACCUUUAGAGAUUGAAACUGGAUAACUUCAGGGUGUAGUAUGGUCAAUCAGAGAUAUAUUGGAUUUAUAUGAGUAUAAUAUGAUCAGCAAGAUUGUGAAAUUCAUGGACUAUUACAUCAUCUAGGAUUGAUAUAGUAAAAAGAAACAAAGAUACUGGAGUAAUAGAAAUGUUGUUUGUGUUAGGUCCAAUGAUAUAUCUGCUUUGAUUCUAGGUCAGAGUUAAACUUGAGAUUUGGCACUUGAAUUUGUGAUAUUUUUGCAUGAGCUAUAAGCUGGAGAACUUUAGGGUGUAGCAUGAUCAGCUGAGAUAUAUUGGAUCUAUAUAGGUAUAGUAUGACUAGCAUGAAUGUGGUAUUGGUGGACUAUUGGAUCAUCUUGGAUAUUACUAGUUGGAUUAUAUGUUGGAGAUAACUUGAGCACUUGGAUUUGUGAUAUUUUGACCUAAGCUCAGUGGCUUAUAUGUGCCCCAUAUGGACAUAAGCAUGGAGAUGACACAAACAUAUCGUAGUUGGUAAACUUUGAUGAUUUUGCUAGCCCUCCCCAAGAAUGUUACGAGUACAAAAUCAUCAUGAGAGGAUGAUUUGGAUUAAUUAGUAUAAAUGACAAUUUCAGUGGUAUGAGCCUUGUUGGAGCAGCUGAUGUUGCUUUUAUCAUGUGUUUGUGCUCCUUUAGAUAAAGUAGUUGGAGGGUAUCACUUUGAAGUGAUAUUAUAUGGGUGAAUAAGUAGAUUUGUUAUAGCCUUGGUACAAUUUGGAUUUACUUAUGUGAUUGUGAUCUUGAAAAAAAUCUAGUGGAUCAAUAACUUCUAUUUUUUGGAUCUAUAUUAAUCCCGUGGAGACUGAGGUAGUUGCAGAGGAGCGAUGAGAUAGCACAUGGAAAGCUUUAUUCGAUUGCCUGAAGAUCGACAUUGCCGCAACGGCUUGGCGCAAAGCCCCUUGUGGAUGACAGGGUUUUCACCAUCUCCCACACCUCCCGUGCAUUUUUCAUUUCCCGCCAAUUCGGCUUGGUGUCCUUCCCUUGUUUGCGGGUUCUGUGCCACUGACUUGAUCCGGCAUCACACAUUCUCCUGCCGUGCGUCCUUGGCCUUGGCGGUAGGUAACGUCGUGCUCUUGGGCUGUGUCUCGUGGGUUAGCCAUUGCGGUGCCAACUGCCUGUGUGGCUAUGGCAGCGCUCAACAGGGGAACACGAGAUGUUGUGGGAUUGAGGCAUCACACAUAGCAAUCCGAAGCUAGGCAAAGGAUGCUGGUCGGACUGGCAGGGAGCUGAUUGGACAUGAGGUAUGGCAGAAGGUGAAAACGUUGUUGGGAGCAGAGUGUCAUUGUCGUCAUUCAUUGUACUUGGAGCCAAGCGUUGAGGGGAUGGUGGGAAAAUUGUUGGAUCAUAGUUAUGAUUACUACUAGAUUCACACCUUUAGAGAUUGAAACUAGAGAACUUUAUAGGGUGUAGUAUGAUCAAUCGGAGAUAAUUUAUAUGAGUGUAAUAUAUGAUCAGCAUGAUUGUGAAAAUUGAUUAACUAUUACCGAAAAAGGCUUUCGCCCCGCUUUAUAUAUAAAGCAAACCACCGAGCACAAGGUUCAACAAGGUACCGACAAGCGGAUACACACAUAUACAGCCACCGCACGCAGAGUCGCACAAUACAACAAACACACGCUUGGAUUGAAAUAGUUGGUAGAAAACAAACAUAAUCGAGUUAUAGAAAUUUUGUUUGUGUUAGGUUCAAUGAUAUAUCUGCUUGGAUUCUAGGUCGGAGUUAAACUUGAGAAUGGGCACUUGGAUGUGGUAUUUUGAGAUGAGCUUGGAACUGAAGAACUUUAGGGUGUAGCAUGAUGAACCUGAGAUGUAUUGGAUUUAUAUAGCUAUAGUAUGAUUAGUAUGAAUGCGGUAUUGAUGGACAAUUGGAUGGUCUUGGAUAUUACUAGUUGGACUCUAGGUUGGAGAUAACUUGAGCACUUGGAUUUGUGAUAUUUUGACCUAAGCUUAGUAACUUGUAUGUCCCCCGUAUGGAUAUGAGCAUGGAGAUGAUACGAAUGGAUCGUAGUUGGUAGACUUUGAUGAUUUUGCUUGCCCUCCCCAGAAAUGUUACGAGUACAAGAUCAUCAUGGGAGGAUGAUUUGGAUUAAUUAGAAUAGAUGACAAUUUCAGUGGUAUGAGCCUUGUUGGAGCAGCUGAUGUUGCUUCUAUUAUGUGUUUGUGCUCCUUUAUAGGCAGUAGUAGGAGGGGGUAGUACUUAUGAAUUGAUAUUAUAUUGGUGGAUAAAUGGAUCUUUAAUAACCUUGGAACAAUUUGGAUUUACUUAGGUGUUUGUGAUCUUGAAAAAAUUUGAUGGAUAAAUAACUCCUAUUUUUUGGACCUAUAGUCAUCUAGUGGAAGCUUGCUUUAUACUGGACUUAGAUAACCAUGAUAGUGGGCUUGGUUUGAUCAUAGUUAUGAUUUGUACUGGAUUCACACCUUUAGAGAUUUAAACUGGAGAACUUUUGUGUGUAGUAUGACAAUUGAAGAUAUAUUGGAUUUAUACGGGUGUAAUAUGAUCAACAUGAUUGUGAAAAUCGAUGGACUAUUACAUCAUCUUGGAUUGAAUUAGUAGGAAGAAAAAAAGCUAUUGGAGUAAUAGAAAUGUUGUUUAUGUUAGGUUCAAUGAUAUAUCUGCUUAAAUUCUAGGUCGGAGUUAAACUUGAGAUUGAGCACUUGGAUUUGUGAUAUUUUGACAUGAGCUUGAAACUGGAGAACUUUAGGGUGUAGCAUGAUCAACCUGAGAUAUAUUGGAUUUAUAUAGGUAUAGUUUGAUUAGCAUGAAUGCCGUAUUGGUGGACUAUUGGAUCAUCUUGGAUAUUACUAGUUGGAUUCUAGGUUGGAGAUAACUUGAGCACUUGGAUUUGUGAUAUUUUGACCUAAGCUUAGUAGCUUGUAUGUGCCCCAUAUGGAUUUGAGCAUGGAGAUGAUACAAAUGGAUCGUAGUUGGUAUAUUUUGAUGAUUUUGCUAGCCCUCCCCAGGAAUGUUACGAGUACAAGAUCAUCAUGGGAGGAUGAUUUGGAUUAAUUAGAACAGAUGGAAAUUUCUGUGGUAUGUGUGCCUUGUUGGAGCAGCUGAUCACGUUUUUAUUAUGUGUUUGUGCUCAUUUAGAUGCAGUAGCAGUAGUAGGAUAGUACUUAUGCAAAGAUGAAUCCAAGGGCGAAGGUUUGGUCUUGCUAAUUUCAAUCGUUACAGUUCAUUAGUUUUUUUCUCAAAUCUUAUUGGAUGAUGUUUUGUUGUUGAACUGUAGUUUUUUGAUCCCUCUGAAUCUUCGGAUGAUCGCAAAUUCUUGACCCAUCUUGAUUUAACUUCUUCGCUUGAUCAGUACAAUAAUUUAGUGUCCAAAGAUUCUGAUUUGGAUUAUUAUUAUUAUUGGUUGUUUCUCUAAAACAUGGGAUUAUAUGGUUAGGGGCAGGGGUGACUUAUCUUCUUGAUGAUCUGUGUUUGGAUGAUCAUUAUUUUCUCUAUUUUAAUUUCUUCCCCUCCACAGCUCAUCUUUAAUCUCACAAUUCUAAUUUGUAUUUAUUGGUGGUUUUCUAGAAAUGGGGGGUUAUAUGACUUAGCGGGGGCACUUAUCGUCUCGGUGAUCUAUGUUUGGAGAUCAUCACUCUUUCCAUUUAAUUUCCUCAUCUCGACUGUUUAAUUUUAAAGUCCUCGACAAUUCUGAUUCGGAUUCGUUGGUGGUUCUCCAGAAGUUGGAAUUAUAGGCCUAGCGGCUGGUCCUAUUUUGCCUCUACGGUUCUUUUUCAGUUGCUUGACUUUUUUGACCUUUCUUAUUUAAUAAUUAAACUCCCCAGACAUUAGGUUUUCUCUAUCCUUGGCUGGUAAUUCUCAACUGUUGCAGAAGGUUUUCCCUAUCCUUGGUCGGUAAUUCUCAUCUGUUGCAGAAGGUUUUCCCUAUCCUUGGUCGGUAAUUCUCAACUACUGCAGAAACCGGCUUGGAUAAUUGCAUUUAGGAACCAGUGUUGUAACCCGUCAUCCCUACCCCGACCGAGAUAGGCUUAUUUACCCUUUACCUCCUCUUUGUUUGACACAUGCUUUAGCUGAGCUUCACUGACUUAUUGAAAGGUAUCUUGCUCGUUGCAGGUCGUAGUUGACUAAUUCAAGUACAACCUGCUGCUGAGUUGCAGCUUUUCUAAAUCGUAACUUUGUCAUCCUUUAAAAUUAUCUUACUGGGCAACAUUUUGAAUCCAGAUUUAUCUGCAAAGGUGCAACAAUGGAGAUUCAAUCUAAUGUCACAUCCUACAACCAAAAAAGACUAUGCUCCAGUUUUAACUCUUACCACUUAUUUUUAUUUCAUGUAGCUACUUGUUCAUGUCUUUAAUUUAGGUUAUUUGCUUCUGCCCUCCCUGUGAUUGCAGGUUUAAUUUAAGCCCAGACCAUGCUGGCAGUGAGUCAGAAUCAGUUAUGUUCUCAAGUGUUUCUCUUGCCCACAGAUACAUUUAUUCAUUUUCGCUGACCUGCUAUGUUCUAUUGUAAUUCAAGUUCGAAUGUUUAUUUUGUAGCCCUGCUUUGUGCUGUCCUAAUUCAAGUUGCGCCGCCACAAAAUGCUUCUAAUUUAACUGCUGUAAGCGCAGCAAUAGGAGCAGCGCAGGUGGCCACUGCAGCUAAGCUCCACAUGGAACGUAUGCCCUGUUGCACCCUCGCAGGUCAUUAUCAUCUCAUCUCACCACACUCAUGCCACAUAACCUGUUAGAUGCUGCUUGCUCGAUUUUGACUAUGCUGGCUGCGAUAUGUAUUUUAGAUUUAGGUCUUCAGAAAGAUUAUGGGAUGUCUGAGGCAAGCUUUUUAUCCAUGCAUUUUUUCCUAUUGCAAUAUUUAGUUGAUUUCAGAAUAGAAGAUCUGGAAAUAUUCCUUACAGAUUUAGGCCUGCAAUUCACGUGUUUGUUAAGAUAAUUGAUGAAAAAACUUUGAUAAAGAAAUACCGGCGCCGUCUCAUCGUCUUCAUCGACAUGAGCAUCUCUGUCGGUCCACGCGUCCAUGCCUCCCGAUCUACCACACUGGAGUGGCCGCCUCCUGGUUGAGGUAUCGCGCCGCCACCGCUGCCCGGGUCCAUCCUCCCCUCCUGCCGAGGCUGAGGUGAUCACCAUGAGGAUGAGGAGGUCAGUGGCUGAUAUAGAGAGCUCCUCGAACGAGGAAGUAGCAGUUCUGGAGCAACUCGAAGAUGUCAUUUUUCAGUUUUGAUGGGAAUCGCUACAACAACAAUUAGAAGAGACUGCAUUGCACGUUCAGAACCAAUUUCUUGGGGAUUAUGGCAAGGAGCAGUGGUCGUUUGGGUUCUUGGGGAACGACAUUUACAGGUUAACUCGGAAAUUCAGAAUUUCAGUCUUCGUAUUGACAUCCGAGAGGAAGAGAAGUGCUGCAGAGACGUGUUUUAUUUCAAAGUGACGAUACUUACAAAGUAAACCAUGCUUUGUCAACCGAAUAUGUGUAUGUAUGUAUAGGCAAUAAAGGCAAAGAACAGAGUCUUUACUUCUUCUCUUCCAACGGAUCUCCUAGCGAAAUGAAGAUAUGGAUAGGUGCCCCGAGCGAGGCGACCGGGGCGGUUCCCCACCCCUCCCCCUCCCCGCGAGUCCCCGCCCCCCUUCCCCCUCGCCGCUGCCGCCGGCGGGCGCGGCCGGGCGUUGCCCGUGCGGCGCCCCGCAGUCCGGCGGUGGCGGCCCUCCUUCCCCCGUCGCUAGACCCCGGCUCGGGCGAGCGGUCCUGGCGGCGGAGCCCUUUGGCUGGCGGCGUUCCGGCGCGGAUCUGGACGGCGGUGGUGCGGAGGCGUUGCCCCUUGGCGGCGGUGACGGCCCAUGGCUUGCGGCGGCCGGCGGCGCCCGGCUGGCCCAGAUCUAGGCCCUACGGGCCCAAUCUGGGUUGGGGCGGGCCUGCUGGGUGGCCGCAGUGGGCUGUUCUCCGGUGGUUUCCGGCGAGCUCCUCGCGACAGGGACGGCGGCGGAGCUUCACGGGCCCACGCUGGGCCUGGCCGGACAGGGGGUCUGGUGUGCCUCUGCUGCUAUGCCCGGUCUGCUACCGCCUUAGCCGGUGGAGGUUGUUCCCUCCCUCGUGGCUGCGGUGCUGCCGGUCCUUGUCUUCGGGUGUCUCGUUUGGAUCCGGCCGGCCUCGCUUCUUUGGCCGUGGUGAGACAACGGCGGUGUCCUCGUGACUGUUGGCGCAUGUUGGUGGGCGGCGGGUGUGGUGGAGCCGAAGGUUGGUCCUGGGUGGUGAGCGCGAGAGGUCGGGAGAAAUCCAUGUCGGGUCUUGCCGGCACCAACGCGGUGACGCCUGCGGGCGCCGCCAUCCUUCUUGAAGGGCGUCGGGUGACCCUCUCCCCCCUCUACCCUCCGUGUACCGGGAGAAAUCCUAGGAUUCGUCCGGGCAGCAGGGUCGUCAUCGUCGCAUUCCUUCUUGAAGGUGGUGUUUGGUACACGGCAACUCGUUGGCUUUGGAGCGUGGUGGUUAUCUUCGGUGGGCGCAGCGAUCGCGGUGUGCCGUAGCUUUCGUUGAUCCGGCGUUGUUGGCAUUUCCUCUCUUAUUUUCUCUUGUUAUUUCUUUUGGGCGUGCUUGUGCUUUUUGCCCCAGCGUGGAUCGGAUUGUUGUGUCGGGUGGUUGCUAUAUCAAUAUAGCGGGGCGUAAGCCUAUUUCGGUAUGGAUAGGUGCUACUGAAGUACUCCCUCUGUUCUUAAAUAUAGGUUUUCGUAGAGAUUUCAACAAGUGACUACAUACGGAGCAAAAUGAGUGAAUCUACACUCUAAAAUAUGUCUAUAUACAUCCGUAUCUGGUAGUCCAUUUGAAAUCUCUAAAAAGACUUAUGUUUAGGAACUGAGGAGUAGCCAACAUAUACUUAUUAUGGAGGAGAGCGUGUGGGUGUACAUAAUAGGGAAGCAGGUGAGAUCCCAAGAAAAUACGCAUACAAGUAUAUCGCGAAGGGAAUGCUAUAUUAUUCUUAAAUGAAAAUUACAGUAGGUUGACUUUUAAUAUAGUUGGAGCAUCCUUUUUUGAACAGUCUAAUUACUCCAUGUAAUUACUGCAUCCAUUUUGGUAUGUGAUACUGCAAGCGUAAAUUCAAGAAAAAAAACUAUGUUGUUUAGUGUGAACUGCAAAUUUAGUUUCUGUUGGUGGAUUCCUCAACCAUAUUUUCGUUGCAUAGAGUGGACUUGGUAGGAGUCUAUUAUUCAGCUCCGUUCUAUGUUUGGAGAGCACUCUCUCUUUUUCCCUUUUGUGGGAAAAUAUUUUAUAGAGAACUCUGCACUAACCCAUGAUUAGUAGCUGUGAUAUAUGAUGAUUAUCCAAUGACAAAACUGUUACAGAAACCAUACAUAUAUAUUGCAUUUCAUCUUCUAUUUCAACUAAAUUCUUGCCAACAUGCUAUUUACCACAUAUACGUACUUUAGCCUGCACAAUUGACGGACCUGCUACAGUUCAGUAGGAAAUUUCAAGCAUGGACCAAGGAAACAAGAUGCUGAUGGAGUGUCAUGUAUUGCUGCUACCUGAUUUUCUGUGAGCUUUCAAAUUAGUUCUGCGCUGUCCUUCAACAAUUGCUUUGUAUAAUCUAGAAGAAUUGGUAUCUGCAUAGGCAAUUGGUACCACGGUGCGCUUGCUUAGGCCAUCUAACAUAUGGGUAGAGAUAGAGUUUAGGAACCCGGAUAAGGGGAUAUAGAGAUUGUAGGCCAUGUAUAUGAAAUAACUCAAGUGUCAAUAUCAAAUGUUCUUCUCUUUACAUAGACAAAAGGGAUAAUGUGUUUUACUUAGUAUAUAUAAAUUGACAUGCCAUAGAUAUUUAUGGUACGAUGCCUUCCCCACACAUUCAAUGGACAAUCCACUUCCAUGUUUAUUUCUUCUUACAUCCAGAAUAUUUCUCUCUUGCAAGUAUUGACUGAAAGACUAGCAAUAAGAUUAUCAGAAGAGUUUAUUCUUGCGUACAUCGAAGCACUAUAAUGUCUACCAUUCAGUUACAGUUUGAAGUUCAUAUAUAGUAAUAGUAUUAUAUGUUGUUUUUAUAUUUUUAUCAAUUGAAGCUUUCUUAUUAGAUUUUUUUCGAGCUGGCUUCCUUCUCAACAUCCUAUACUAAUAUAGGUUAUUGGACAAAGUUCUGUACUGAUAGUCCAAAACUUUGUGGUCGCGCAGGCUAUUCAGCCUUUAAUCAUAUUUAACAUCAUCAGGGUCUCUGGACAAACAAGCUCGAGGAGGCCAUUGUUUGGUCCGGCCCACGACAACAACCACACCAUUGACCACUGAAGCAAGGUCCUUAUAUGGUCACUGAAGAAAUCAUAUUUUCUUCCGACAGAAGGGCACUUUUCUUGAAUCUUUGUCAGUGUCUGUUGUAAUUUACUAUCAUCCCUAAGACAAAGUUGAUUCUGUGUUGCCGUUCUUUAUCUCUAUUGUUUAAUCCAAAUUACUCCCUCCGUAAAGAAA